rnacentral:tRNA from 1 species
GAGAAUAUAGUUUAACGGUUAAAACUAUUGCCUUUUAAGCAAUCAUUGUCAGUUCGAUUCUGUCUAUUCUUA